UUGAAGAAACCAUGAUCGUGGAUUGCUUGAAAGAGAAGCUUAAACAUAGUGCAAGCAGUCAAGAUCAAUCUCGAAAUCAACUUACCUUCUAUCAACAUCGCUUAUGCUCCCUAUGUUUACAAACUACGUAGUGAUAGUUAUGAUACCUCCUAUGCAAAAACCAUUCAUAUAAAUGAAACAAAGCACGUUUCUACGCAUUCAAUUCAAUGGCCAAUGAGCACAAAACUACAUGCAUUGCACGUCGCAUUAACACUAGUUAUUGUUAAAAUGAUUUCGAAUCCAGUUCUUCUUACAUCAAAUUUCAUAAUCGAGAUCCAUAUGUUGUAUACUAGAACCCAAAACAAAUCAACAGAGAGGUAUUGGGGGUAUUAGUAGUAUAUCAAUACACUUUAGGUAAUAAUGCCUUUGACUCAUCUCUGGCUACUAACAAUUCCAAUGUUGACGGGUUGGGAGUACCUAUUGAUGGAAGAGGGUCUCUAGGCGAUCACGAGCGAAGACGUGUUUAAGUGAAAGCGCCUGGGAUUAUUGAACGUAAAUCUGUGUAGUAAUAAAAGAGCCAACUCUGCCUUGCCAAGCCACGGGAUGGAAUUGCCAAAUUGCCCUCCUCAACUUUGUUUUGCAAUUUGUUCUUGCAUGUGUUGAGUUGGGAGUAGUUUAGGUAUUGUAUCUUUUCCUUAUUUCACUCAAUUACCUUGUACUUCCUCAGCCGUCCCUAGAUUUCUGGCCGAUUUCCUCCUGGAUUUGCUGGAUUUUGUGUGGCUUGAGAAAAGCUAUUGAUCAAAAAAGAAAGUUAAUCUUCCAACCAUCUCUCUCUCAAAACCAUGUCUCUCUCUCAAUCGCUGCCAAAUCAAGGUUUUUUGUGGAAACGAAGGAGGCGAUUCUACGAACUCCGUUGCAUCACCGGUGGUAUGGAUGUUGACGGCGGUACUGGGUUUCCCUCUCUCGUUGGUUCGAGAAGUGAAUUCGAUGGGAUAUAUUGGACUACUCACGUCAAUGUGCCACUGUUGAAACAAUGGAUAAGCUAUUCAAAUUGGCGGAGGUGCUUUUAGGUUUAUUGAGCGUAUGGAAUGUUUUCUUUCCUUGGACACCUGCAAGAGCCAUUUUACCCUAUUCUCAAACCUUGGAGAAGCUUGCGCCUCAUAUUCAACAGGUUAGUAUGGAAAGCAACGGAAAAGGGGUGUCAAUUGAUGGUGUGGCUCUUCCCUACGAGAGUGGUGAAAUAACCAGGAACAAAUGGUCAGCACAGCUUUUACCAACCAGGGGCGAGUAGUAGUUCCUUGUGAUUUUAUUGGUGGGUGUUGUGACGAGUCAGCAACCUGUGCACUUGAAAGAUAAAAUUCGGCUCACCAGAAAGCGUAAGUUUCCCACGUUUUUGGGUAACAAUGUCAUACAAGAAGGGCGAUCUAACGUGCUACAACCAGUUCGGAUUAGAAGCUCAUUGUUUUGCCAGAAUCCCAGGGAGGUAUAAAACCCAGGAAGGGGUCCCCAAGUGGAUACACAAAACCGGAUACACGAAACCAGCUGGAUUCCGGAUCAUCAUCAUCAACCUCCUUCAUCAACCAGAGCACAAAUGUUGUACACCCAUCCUCAUAGAAAGAACAGAUAACUACCAGUGAGUCCCUUAGCAAUUUUUGCUGUGGAAUUUUCUUCGGUCAUCAGUAUAUGGGAACAAGUUGAACUUUUUUGGCAGAGGUGUCACUCUAAAAACCUCUUCACCCAUGUCAAAUGAAGCAACUGCCGUGGAAAACACCAUCAUUGGUGUACAUGCUGUUAUCCGUAAAACAAAGUUCUACAUCUUGGAAAUUACCACAGAUUGGGAGGAACCUCCAACAACCAGAACUCGACGUGUACACCUCAGCGCAAUUAACCUCGUCAUCCCCUACCUCGAAAGAUACAAGUUUAAUGACUUUGUAAGUUUUAGCUUUGCCAUCAAAACCAAACCCUACCAUGCAAUAACUGACCGGCUUAUAUGGUGGGAAGUCGAACAACGAUUUGGGGAGCA